UACGGGGGGUGCAAGCGUUGUUCGGAAUUAUUGGGCGUAAAGAGCGUGUAGGCGGCCUGGCAAGUCAGAUGUGAAAGCCCCGGGCUUAACCCGGGAAGUCCAUUUGAAACUGCUUGGCUUGAGUAGGGGAGAGGAAAGUGGAAUUCCUGGUGUAGAGGUGGAAUUCGUAGAUAUCAGGAGGAACACCGGUGGCGAAGGCGACUUUCUGGCCCUAUACUGACGCUGAGACGCGAGAGCGUGGGUAGCAAACAGGAUUAGAUACCCUGGUAGUCCCUGAG
rnacentral:rRNA from 1 species